rnacentral:rRNA from 1 species
GACGAACGCUGGCGGCGUGCUUAACACAUGCAAGUCGAACGGAGUGGCGAACGGGUGAGUAACACGUGGGUGACCUGCCCUGCACUUCGGGAUAAGCCUGGGAAACUGGGUCUAAUACCGGAUAGUGAGGGAUGGGCCCGCGGCCUAUCAGCUUGUUGGUGGGGUAACGGCCUAUCAAGGCGGCGACGGGUAGCCGGCCUGAGAGGGUGGACGGGCACAUUGGGACUAAGACACGGGCCAGGCUCCUACGGGAUGCAGUGGUGGGGAAUAUUGCACAAUGGGCCGAAGCCUGAUGCAGCGACGCCGCUGGGGGGAUGACGAGCUACGGGUUGUAAACUCCUUUCAUCAUAUACGCGGUAGAUGGAGAAGAAGCACCGGCUAACUACGUGCCAGCAGCCGCGGUAAUAC